rnacentral:rRNA from 1 species
UGAUUACGUCCCUGCCCUUUGUACACACCGCCCGUCGCUGCCCGGGACUGAGCCAUUUCGAGAAACUUGGGGACCGCUGAUCCGGUGGCUUCGGCCUCCGUUUCGGUGGAAACCAAUUUAAUCGCAGUGGCUUGAACCGGGCAAAAGUCGUAACAAGGUAGCUGUAGGUGAACCUGCUGCUGGAUCAUUACACGUACCGUGAUGGUCA